AUGGCCUCAAUUACCUGCUCUAAUUGCAAAAAGGUUGGCCAUAGAUACACCAACUGUAAUGUUGCUUUGAAUCCAUCACUGGCAAUGAGAAAGAAUAUGCAUGAGCCAAGCAGCAGCUCCUAUGAACUUGAUGCAGCCACACCAGCAAGCAGGGCCUCUUCUGCUGCUGGUGCUGCUGCUACUGCACCAUCACCAGCAAGGAGGCCUCUUCUGCUGCUGGUGCUGCUGCUACUGCACCAUCACCAGCAUAGAGGGCAUCUUCUUCUUCUGCUACAGCACCUGGACCAGCAAAGAAGAGGGCCUCUUCUUCUUCUGCAACAACACCUGGACCACCAAAGAAGAGGGCAUCUUCUACUUCUGCAACAGCACCUGGACCACCAAAGAAGAGGGCCACUUCUGCUGCACCACCACUGA
rnacentral:rRNA from 1 species